UCAUACGGAUGUGUUCCUUCAGGUAAGGGAAUCUUCCAAUGCUUCUGUUCUAGUCUGUUCGUCUGGCCAAUACCUUAUUUGUUGAUUGGGAAUUUCUGCCUCUUGCCAACACAUUGGCACUUCCACUCAACUCAGACUCAUUGCCCCUCCUACCAUCAAAUCUUUUUUCUAAUUUUUAUUUGUCAGAUUUCCAUAAAACAUAUCUAAUACGUUGAAAAUGAGGGAUUGCUUUAUUUCUUCUUCCUGCAGAUUAAUAUCUUUUUUGCUCUAAUUAAGUAUGCACGUAAAUGUUUAACGUUUGCUUUCGUGUUUAAUAUUUAUAUGAACGUGUGGGUGAUAUGGAUACCCUAUG
rnacentral:misc_RNA from 1 species